rnacentral:lncRNA from 10 species
CAAGCUCCUUUGUUCUUGGGUCUGAUAGCAGAGGCAGCAGGGCCAGCAGGUAACGGAGGGCCUGUCCUCACCGGAUGUUGGCACUGUGGUUCCCACGGGAAUGCUUCCUGGAGAAGACUGGGGUACUGGCUAUAACAGCCCAGGGCAAGAAGGUGACCACCUGGCAAAAGAAGGACUUGGGAGGGGGCAGAAGGAAGGAUGAAGACUGAAAGCUAGAAUGGAAACUUCCUGAGAGCAGGAGCUGCUCUUGUUUAUCACUGAAUCUCCAGUAUAAGGACCAGUGCCCUACAUGAAGGAGCCUCUCAAUAACAAUUUAAUAAAUAAUUAGUAGUUACAGUAAAUA